rnacentral:rRNA from 1 species
UACGAAGGGGGCUAGCGUUGCUCGGAAUUACUGGGCGUAAAGGGCGCGUAGGCGGAUCUUUAAGUCGGGGGUGAAAGCCCAGGGCUCAACCCUGGAAUUGCCUUCGAUACUGGAGAUCUUGAGACCGGAAGAGGUAAGUGGAACUGCGAGUGUAGAGGUGAAAUUCGUAGAUAUUCGCAAGAACACCAGUGGCGAAGGCGGCUUACUGGUCCGGUUCUGACGCUGAGGCGCGAAAGCGUGGGGAGCAAACAGG